ACUCCGGCCACCCUGGCCUCCGGCUGCGCUCCGAGCUGACUGAGCCUGAGACUGGUUCAAGUUUGAGAAGUUUGAAAGACAAAUAGAUAAUUGGAUGCACAGAGAUGAAGCCAAUGUGUUUUGUAAAAGAAUCAAAUGGAAACUAAUGAUGUGGAACCCAACGUUGUCAAGGCAGUGAUGAGCUUCAUCUACGAGGUGGGGAAGCUCCUCCAUCUGACAAAAUGGCAGAUGACUUGAGUGGUUUCUAACAAUGCUGGGGUCCUGUGCCUUGUGGCAAUGUUCUGCUCGAAUUAGACCACCUAGGGACUGUAGUUCCAAACCAAAGCUGUUUUAAAUCUUUCACUUGCUUGCUUCUGUACUCCUUUGUCAGCUUCAUAACAUAUCAACUUCUUUUACAUGCACUUCCUUUAUCUGACUUUUUAAAAAAAUUAUAAAUUGUUGGGCAUUCUAAUAAAUGUUUCAGUGUUUCCUGAUGCCACAUCAUUGAAAGUUAACAAAGUGUUUUUAAAAUCACUAUAAAGUGAAUUUUAUAGUGGCUGUACUCUAAUUGAUGAAAGAUUAGAAACAUUUUUUUAAAUGAAUCUAAGAUAUUUAACAAGUUCAUUUAAUUUCUUAGAAGGCAUAGAAAGCAUUAAACCAAAAUACUUCUGUUGAGUCAUUAUUAAUUGCAAGAAAUUGAUUGAGUGGAAAUGAAAACAAUUCAGAAUGUGACUAUGUCAUCUUAGAGCUUGUGAAAAUCAGAGAAGGGA